UACAGAGGUCUCAAGCGUUGUUCGGAUUCAUUGGGCGUAAAGGGUGCGUAGGCGGCGCGGUAAGUCGGGUGUGAAAUCUUGGAGCUUAACUCCGAAACUGCAUUCGAUACUGCCGUGCUUGAGGACUGGAGAGGAGACUGGAAUUUACGGUGUAGCGGUGAAAUGCGUAGAUAUCGUAAGGAAGACCAGUGGCGAAGGCGGGGUCUCUGGACAGUUCCUGACGCUGAGGCACGAAGGCCAGGGGGAGCAAAACGGGG
rnacentral:rRNA from 1 species